rnacentral:misc_RNA from 1 species
GAUGAAGAACGUAGCGAAAUGCGAUAAGUAGUGUGAAUUGCAGAAUUCAGUGAAUCAUCGAAUCUUUGAACGCACAUUGCGCCCCUUGGUAUUCUAUGGGGCAUGCCUGUUCGAGCGUCAUUUGUACCUUCAAGCUUUGCUUGGUGUUGGGUGUUUGUCUCGCCUUUGCGUGUAGACUCGCCUUAAAAUAAUUGGCAGCCGGCGUAUUGAUUUCGGAGCGCAGUACAUCUCGCGCUUUGCACUCAUAACGACAGCGUCCAAAAGUACAUUUUACACUCUUGACCUCGGAUCAGGUAGGGAUACCCGCUGAACUUAAGCAUAUCAAUAAGCGGAGGA